rnacentral:rRNA from 1 species
AGUGAACGCUGGCGGUAGGCCUAACACAUGCAAGUCGAACGGCAGCACAGUAAGAGCUUGCUCUUACGGGUGGCGAGUGGCGGACGGGUGAGGAAUACAUCGGAAUCUACUUUUUCGUGGGGGUUAACGUAGGGAAACUUACGCUAAUACCGCAUACGACCUACGGGUGAAAGCAGGGGAUCUUCGGACCUUGCGCGAUUGAAUGAGCCGAUGUCGGAUUAGCUAGUUGGCGGGGUAAAGGCCCACCAAGGCGCCGAUCCGUAGCUGGUCUGAGAGGAUGAUCGGCCACACGGGAACUUAGACACGGUCCAGGCUCCUACGGGAGGCAGCAGUGGGGAAUAUUGGACAAUGGGCGCAAGCCUGAUCCAGCCAUACCGCGUGGGUUGAGGAGGCCUUCGGGUUGUAAAGCCCUUUUGUUGGGAAAGAAAAGCAGCAGGUUAAUACCCCGCUGUUCUGACGGUACCCAAAGAAUAAGCACCGGCUAACUUCGUG